rnacentral:rRNA from 1 species
AUUGAACGCUGGCGGCAGGCCUAACACAUGCAAGUCGAGCGGUAGAGGGGAGCUUGCUUCCCUUGAGAGCGGCGGACGGGUGAGUAAUGCCUAGGAAUCUGCCUGGUAGUGGGGGAUAACGUCCGGAAACGGACGCUAAUACCGCAUACGUCCUACGGGAGAAAGUGGGGGCUCUUCGGACCUCACCCUAUCAGAUGAGCCUAGGUCGGAUUAGCUAGGUGGUGUGGGAAAGGCGCACUAAGGCGACGAUCCGUAACUGGUCUGAGAGGAUGAUCAGUCACACUGGAACUGAGACACGGUCCAGACUCCUACGGGAGGCAGCAGUGGGGAAUAUUGGACAAUGGGCGAAAGCCUGAUCCAGCCAUGCCGCGUGUGUGAAGAAGGUCUUCGGAUUGUAAAGCACUUUAAGUUGGGAGGAAGGGUCGUUACCUAAUACGUGACGAUUUUGACUUACCGACAGAAUAAGCACCGGCUAACUCUGUGCCAGCAGCCGCGGUAACAC